GAAAUAAAGUACACUAAAGAUAAGCUUCUAACUUAAUCUAAAAGCGGUGAAACCCCGUUUAUAUUUCU
rnacentral:tRNA from 1 species